AUUGAACGCUGGCGGCAUGCCUUACACAUGCAAGUCGAACGGCAGCACGGGAGCAGUCCUGGUGGCGAGUGGCGAACGGGUGAGUAAUGUAUCGGAACGUGCCCAGUCGUGGGGGAUAACGUAGCGAAAGCUACGCUAAUACCGCAUACGAUCUAUGGAUGAAAGCGGGGGACCGUAAGGCCUCGCGCGAUUGGAGCGGCCGAUAUCAGAUUAGGUAGUUGGUGGGGUAAAGGCCUACCAAGCCGACGAUCUGUAGCUGGUCUGAGAGGACGACCAGCCACACUGGGACUGAGACACGGCCCAGACUCCUACGGGAGGCAGCAGUGGGGAAUUUUGGACAAUGGGCGCAAGCCUGAUCCAGCAAUGCCGCGUGCAGGGUGAAGGCCUUCGGGUUGUAAACUGCUUUUGUACGGAGCGAAAAGGCUCUCUCUAAUACAGGGGGCUCAUGACGGUACCGUAAGAAUAAGCACCGGCUAACUACGUGCCAGCCGCCGCCGUAA
rnacentral:rRNA from 1 species